rnacentral:rRNA from 1 species
AGAGUUUGAUCCUGGCUCAGGACGAACGCUGGCGGCGUGCCUAAUACAUGCAAGUUGAACGCAACAAAGACACCAGAGCUUGCUCUACCGUCUUUGUUGAGUAGCGAACGGGUGAGUAACGCGUGGGUAACCUGCCUUAUAGCGGGGGAUAACUAUUGGAAACGAUAGCUAAUACCGCAUAACAAUAGAGAUUGCAUAAUCUUUAUUUGAAAGUGCCAACUGGUACACUAUGAGAUGGACCCGCGUUGUAUUAGCUAGUUGGUAGUGUAAUGGACUACCAAGGCGAUGAUACAUAGCCGACCUGAGAGGGUGAUCGGCCACAUUGGGACUGAGACACGGCCCAAACUCCUACGGGAGGCAGCAGUAGGGAAUCUUCGGCAAUGGACGAAAGUCUGACCGAGCAACGCCGCGUGAGUGAAGAAGGUUUUCGGAUCGUAAAACUCUGUUGUUAGAGAAGAAUGUUGAUUAGAGUGGAAAAUUAAUCAAGUGACGGUAUCUAACCAGAAAGGGACGGCUAACUACGUGCCAGCAGCCGCGGUAAUACGUAGGUCCCGAGCGUUGUCCGGAUUUAUUGGGCGUAAAGCGAGCGCAGGUGGUUUAAUAAGUCUGAUGUAAAAGGCAGUGGCUCAACCAUUGUGUGCAUUGGAAACUGUUAGACUUGAGUGCAGUAGAGGAGAGUGGAAUUCCAUGUGUAGCGGUGGAAUGCGUAGAUAUAUGGAGGAANACCGGUGGCGAAAGCGGCUCUCUGGACUGUCACUGACACUGAGGCUCGAAAGCGUGGGUAGCAAACAGGAUUAGAUACCCUGGUAGUCCACGCCGUAAACGAUGAGUGCUAGUUGUUUGGGGCUAUCCAGCCCUAAGUGACGCAGCAAACGCAUUAAGCACUCCGCCUGGGGAGUACGACCGCANGGUUGAAACUCAAAGGAAUUGACGGG